rnacentral:rRNA from 1 species
CCAAUAGCGUAUAUUAAAGUUGUUGCAGUUAAAAAGCUCGUAGUUGAAUUUCGGGAUCAGUACGCUGGUCGUGCCUUCGGUAUGAACUGGUGUCACUGGUUCCUCCCUUCUGAAGAACUGUCAUGCCAUUCAGUUGGUGUGGCGGGGAAUCAGGAAUGUUACUUUGAAAAAAUUAGAGUGUUUAAAGCAGGCUCGCGCUUGACUACAUUAGCAUGGAAUAAUGAAAUAGGACGUUUGAUCCUAUUUUGUUGGUUUCUAGGAUCGACGUAAUGAUUAAUAGGGAUAGUUGGGGGCAUUAGUAUUCAAUUGUCAGAGGUGAAAUUCUUGGAUUUAUUGAAGACUAACUACUGCGAAAGCAUUUGCCAAGGAUGUUUUCAUUAAUCAAGAACGAAAGUUAGGGGAUCGAAGACGAUCAGAUACCGUCGUAGUCUUAACCAUAAACUAUGCCGACUAGGGAUCGGAUGAUGUUAAUUUUUUAAUGACUCAUUCGGCGCCUUACG